UCUUUCAUAAAAGUGAAGUGGCAUAACGGGAAUUUUUGAAAAGUAGGGGAUACCUGUACCCUGUAAACUGGUGCUGUCUGAUAGGACUUUCUGGGAAGAUGAAAAUGCUCAGUCUAAUACAGCAGUUGCAUGGCUGUUGAGCUCUUGAGAAAUGGUUACUGCUACUGAGGAACUGAAUGUCCAAUUUUAAUUUAAUUUUUAAAAGCUGUGUAUGUGCCUAAUGGCUGCAGAAUUGGAUGGCGCACCUCUAACCAAAAAGUUAUAGUAUAAAUAUCCCAGUUGUUAGAGCUUAAACACUUGGUAGUCUGUAAAGGGUAUUAUUCUGCGUGUUGGGGAUGCCAGUUAGUCAUAUAUUUCAGUUAAUUACCAAUUUAAGUUCCUGCUUAGUUUUUUUCUAAGAUGCCUGAUGUGAGGUAAUACAUGGGGAAGCCGCUGUGGCACUCAAGGGAAGAUCAAAUGAUCAGCCUUGCAAAUAGCCACAGAUUAGCUGUCCUUUUAACUAAUCAGAUGACAACAAAAAUUGAUGGAAAUCAGGCCUUGCUGGUUCCUGCGUUGGGGGAAAGUUGGGGACAUGCUGCUACAAUACGACUAAUCUUUCACUGGGACCAAAAGCAAACGUCAGUAUAGAAACAAGUUAAUAAUUCUGAAUAUUGGGUUAAUUACACUGAACGGUUAUAUUUUCUUAGAUCUACUCCAGUGGAUAAAAUCUACAGUGACUCAAAAGCCGAAAGCUUUUGUUGCCUUGUCCUCCAUCACCUAGAGA